UCAACCCUCAAGCCCCCGGCUUGGUGUUGGAGCCUGGUCUGGCCCCCGAGCCAGAUCGCUCCCAAAGACAAUGACGGCGGCCACGGGCGCCCCCGGUACACUGAGCUUUUUAUCGAGCACGUGCCGGAAGGGCCUCGCGGUCCCGGUCCGCCUCCCCUCAGGGAGAACUUUUACCAA
rnacentral:misc_RNA from 1 species